rnacentral:lncRNA from 1 species
CUAAUUAGAAUUCUAUUCUUAACAACACGAAAGAAAGCUGGAAGGAGAAGGAAUUAAAAGAGAAUAGAGAGAGGAGCUUCAAAAGAAAAACGACCCCUCCCCUUUCCCAUGGACCGAUCUGCUUCUUCUUCAUCGGAGAGAGCCAAAUCCAUGGCUGCCGCUUAACACGAAAUUAGUCCCCUCACCCCCACGACGACAAUUUGUCCGAAACAAUCAAACGACAUUGGACAGAGCUCUUGGAUAAUAACUAACGACGGAGAAUUUAAGUUCUUCUUCGUUUUAGUCUGGAUCUCAAAUUCGAAAACAAAAACGAAAAUCAUUUCAAGUUCUGUUUCGAUUCUUCAUGGACUCCGUAUGAAAUUCAGUUCUGAGGCUGUCAUUGUUCAUCGAGGCCCGGAAUUGCGGUUCGAUUUGUGUUGAUUCCGUUGAGGUCGACGACUCCCCGUUUACUGUUUAGGUUAGUUAUUCUCUGUUCGAUUUUCUGAAUUGUAGUUUGAAUUCGUCGGUGAAGAUCCAUCUCUAUUCGAUAUUGCUUGUUUUGGUGAGUCUUGAAUAAGUGAAUGCAUGUUCACGGUUGUUUGCUCGCCUUGAUUGGAAUGAAGUAGUUUGUCCCUGUUAAGUUUAGUUUCUUAAAUUCAGUUUUGGUUGCAUUCAUUACUGUUUGCUUACUACCAUUCACUUAAGUGGCGAUUGAAAUGAAUGAAGUGUUGAACUAAAAAUGAAUUAUACAUUAGUGUUUAUGGUUUGACUUAAUUCGUAUCCCUGAAAAUUUUAAUAUUCGAGUGAAGUUGUUAAAACGGAACAAUUUGCAAUCUCCUCGUUUUCUAAAUGGAACGAUUUGUUACUCAAAUGGAGUCGAUUUCAGCAGUAUAACUGUUCCUGGACAUUCUUAUAUAAGGUUCGAUCGACCGACGAAAUCCCAUACAUUUACAUAAUGUUCAUUUCAUCUGCCCCUUACCCCAGUUAGCCCGAUGUUCGUAAAGGAGUUUGUCUUGUUUAAAUUUUGUUGGUAAUGCUCUCAUGUUUCUGUUCAUUAGUUUACCAUCUUGAUGUGUUCAUUUAAUUUUUGCUUAAAGCUAAGACUAAUGAAUCUCCAAAUGUUGAGUUGUUUGCUGACAUAGAUCUCGAAUAAAGUGGUUAUAGGUUUGGGUAAUCUUUGUUAAUUUUCUUUACUUUACUUUUUGUUCAAUUCGACUGAAAUAAGAAUAUGUGUAAGCCACGGGCUGAAUUUUUUUAGAGAAAUUGAAAGUAGACGUGGGUUCAUGUCAUUCUUUAGUUGAAUACGAAUUUGCCUAAAAUUAGAAUCGAGGUGUGUCAUGCCAAAUAAAAUGUCAAUUGCAUGGCCCUCACUUUGUUUAAUCUUGAUUUUGUCCUUAAAAUUCGAGGUGCGCCAUUUAGUAAAUUCCAUGGCCCUCGCAAAGUGGAAACGCGUAGUUACCUUAGACAGGUGUUUAAUAAAGUUACCUUCCUAAAUACGGGUGUACAUUUAUGUGACCCAAAUCCAAAUCUCAACGAAAUCGAAAUGUGUUGAUAACUGUGGGUGCCUUGAUGGUGACGAGGUUAGAAACGCGUUUUCAUGGCAUCGUAAUUCUUAUAAACAAAUAAUGAUCGAAAAGUGGUUAAAAAAAGGAGACGAGCCUCACCGAACAAAAAAUAAAUGUGGGGCCCUCAGUAAAUUGUUAUUAAAAAUGAUUAGAAUUUGGAAGGACCGUUUAGUGAAUUUCAACGGUCUUUCCCAAAUAAUAUUACGCUAGAACCUUUAAGCACGAUUUCAUUAAUUUACUUUCUUAAACUCGGGUGCGCAUUGAUGCAACCCAAAUCCAAAUCUCGACGAAGUCGAAUCGUGUUGACGACCACGGGUGCCUUGAUGGCGACGUGGUCAGAGAAGCGUUUUCAAGACGUCGCAAGUCUUUUAAAAUAAAUAAUGGUAAAAGAGGUUUAUAAAUAAAAGGCACAUACAUGUAAUAAAAUCAGAUAAAAUCAAAUACAACAGGUAAGCGACCGUGCUAGAACAACGGAACCCGGGAAUGCCUAACACCUUCUCUCGGGUUAAUAGAAUUUCUCAUCCAGUUCUGGUUCGCAGACUGUAAUACAGAAUCAAACUUUCCUCGGUUCAGGAUUAAAAUCGGUGACUUGGGACACCAUAAAUCUCCCAAGUGGUGACUCUGAAUAAUUAAUAAACUAAAUCCUGUUCCGAUUGUCCUUUAAGUGAAAAAACUAUUUACGCUCCCUUUGCGUGGUGUAUAGCGAAAAAAGGUGGUGUGACAGGUGCACAAGCUUAAUUAGAACAACUAGUAACAAAUGCAAAUGCAGAGAAAGAUAAGUAAGUUUUCCACAGCCUAGCCUUGGCUUUCAGCCAGCUAGGUAAGGCAGCAAUACAAGUAGUAACAGAUAAAAAAGAGAGAUUUGGUAGGGUGUGUGUCCGAACUCAAGUGUUUUAUGACUUGUGUUCGUGUGUUUAAGAGAAAAGAAGUACAGGGUUUUUAUAGCUUUUUGAAAACGAGUAAGAGAGAAGUAAUAAGCUACAAACAUGGAAACAAUCACAAUUCAGAAUCAAUUAAACUAGUGAUUGCAUUUAAUUAGGGGAUCACUUGCUUAACGAGCAGUGACAGGUUCAAAAUAAGGAAAGAAAUCAAUUUGUAAGCAGGCUGAUAGUUGCCAUAAAAGAGGUGGUAAAACAUUACGUAAGCAAUCAAGUCUAGGUACAGAAAUACUCUAAUUUUGGAAAGUGUUCAGUAAGGCAAAAUAGGAAAAGAAAUAAAUUAGCCUUAACAGGCGAGUGAAAUCAAAAUUUCACGAAGGAAAAGUUUGAAAUCAGUCACAAAUUUGAAGAUCAAUCAAAGAAGGAAACUCAUCAUAUGAAUAGAGUGCACAAACACUAUAUAUGUGAGGCCAAGCAUGUUGUCAAAAGGAAAUAGCAUGCAAUAGUAGCACAAAAUUCAGUAGAUAACAACAUUCGAAGCAUGAUAGUCUAGUAGGUUAAGUUACAUUCAAUCAGCAGUGAAGAAAACAUAGGAUAUCAAGAGCAUGCGAAGAUCUCAUAGUAGUAGGUGAGGAAAAUUCCUUUUGAAAAAUUAGGGUUUCGAGCAUAAUCGAGUUUUAGAGAAGAUAGAAACCCAGAAUGAGAAAAAUCACACAAAGAAAUAAUAGGUUUCGAAAUAAAGAACUUCAAAUUGAGCCAUGUACUUAAACAAACAGUCCCAGACCCAAAGCAAUAAGAUUUUCAACAAUAGAAGAGUUUUAAAAGAGGAUAAACAAAGCAGACAAAACUCAAGAAAAUAAGCAUUCGUUUAAUAAACAAUCAAAAGAAAUUAGGGCUUUUAAAAUGAAAACUUAGGUAGAAGAACGAUAAGAGCAAACAUAACAAAAGAUGUCAAAAAAAGUUAGAGAAACGUUUUGAAAUAACUUAACAAGAAAACCCUAAUCAGAGAAGAUAAAGAGUUUUGAAAGCAGAGUUUUAAAAGAAACUUCAAGAAAAAUGCUUAGAAGUUAAAAGCAAACAUAGAUCUGAAGCAGAUCUAAAACAAAUUGAAAGAACCUUAGAGAGUAGGAUUUCAAAAGAAUCCUAAGUGAUGAGAAAGGCCUUGAAAACCAUCGAUCUAAGAAGAAGAGUCAAAAGCCGGACUCGAAUAGCCAUGGCAGGCUGGAGAAAGGUCAAAGACAACUGAAGAACAGUCAUCGAGCAAAGACUGGACAAAACCCUUUCAGGAUCUGGUCAUGAGACCACAGAAACAAACACGUAGAAGCCAUGGGAGGAUGAUACAGGUCUCCGAUUACCUUGGAAGGCCAUGAAUUAGGGCGGAUUAGGGUCCGACGGCUUGGGCUUGAGGGUGUUGUAGAGAGGAUUUGAUAGAGGAGGGGGAUUCAAAGGCGUAUGGUGGAAAAUGGUAGGGUUUAGGGGGUUGUUUGGGAUUAAUUAAGGUAAGGAGGUCUGGUGACCGUUGAUCAUUUUGAUCAAUGGUUUGGAUUGAACGAGUAAGUAGGGCAGUUUAAAGAAUAGGGUUUGGGUCGGUUCAGAUUGUAAUUGGGUCGGGGUAAUUUGGCUUCAAGUUGAGUUCAAUUGGGGUUCAAAAUCAUGCUAUAAUUGAAAUAAAAUGGGGCUAACAUUUAAAUAGAUAAUUUUCCUAUUUGAUUUAUAAAAAUAAUAAAGUAAUUCCUAUAAAUAAAUUAAAGGUACUAAAGUAAUUUAUGGUACAUAAUUUUUAUAGAUAUAAACACAAUUAAAUCUAAAAGAGUCUAAUAUUACAAUUAUAUGAAAUUUGGCCUUAAAAAUACUAAAACAAUUAUAAAAAAAUAUACAAAAAUUAUAUUAGCUAUAUUUUAGUAUAAAUAUGAGAAUACAAUAACUGAAUCACCAAAAAUAAUAAUUUGGAAAUAUUAUUAGGUUUUUUGAGUAAAAUAGGGGAAUAAACUAGUUUUAAAAUCUUUAAAAUUGUGGAAAAAAUAAUAAAACAAUUGGAUAUACUUAUAUAUGCCUACAUAUGUUGUUUUGAAAGUAUUUUGCAUAUAAAAAAUAUACAGGAAAAAUUGGGUAUCAACAGUAUUCCCUUGUUCUCUAGGUGGGCGCCUGAUUGCCAAAACUUAAAUUGUACUCGCUUCUUCUCCAGGCGGGCGUCUGAUUGCCAAAAGUUGAAUUGUAUUCCCUUGUUUUCUAGGUGGGCGCGUGAUUUCCAAAAACUUGAAUUGUAUUCUCUUGUUUUCCAGGUGUGUGCCUGAUUGCCAAAAACUUGAAUUGUAUUCCCUUGUUCUCCAGGUGGACGUGUGAUUGUCAAAAAG